GCAGGCUCAGCAUGGUGAGAUUCUAUUUUCCAUCUUUUAAUUAUAGAGUUAAAUGCCUUGCUUCCCUCUGGAUAGAAUUAAUGUACGCUGGAAGCAGCAGACUGUGGGAUCAGGUUGUCAGGACACAUGACUCUAUCCCUCACUAGCUGUGGAUCUAAGGACAUGUUGCUCUCCUAAGCCCUGGUUUUGUCUUCUAUAAAAUGGGAAUAAUUAGCCUCUACCUCUUAAAUUGUGAGGACUGUGUGGCAGAAUGGAUGGCAAGUGCUUUCUACCCACUAAGCGAGUGCUUCUCAACCUUCCUAAUGCUGUGACCCUUUAAUACAGUUCCUCAUGUUGUGGUGACCAGCCCCCCUCAGUCAUAAAACCCGUAAACCCACAAAACCAUAUUUUCGUUGCUACUUCAUAACUAUAAUUUUGUUACUGCUACGAAUUAUAAUGCAAACAUCUAUAUUUUCUGGUGGUCUUACACUAAAGGGUCAUUUGACUCCAACUGGGUCAUGACUCACAGGUUGAGAACUUGUCGUGCUUUCAAAGCUGAGAGGUCCUCCUAGACCUUGCUUGUCUACCUUUUCCUCCCAGGUUAAGAGGUAGUUUGAGGCAAGUAUGUGUGCUGGCAAGUUUUAACUGUCGACUUGACCCAAUGUAGAGUUCCCUAGGAAGAGGGUCUUAGCCAGGAAAUUUCAAGAUCAGGCUGGUCUGUGGGCAUGUUCAUGUGUGGUUACCUUGUUUGUGAAGUGAGGAGUGAAAUAGGUGGCACCAAUUCAAGGGACAGGUCCCAGACUGCAUACAAUUAGAGAAAGCUAUACACAGCUAAAGGUUCGUAUGAUCUCUCUUUGAUCUAGAAUGAGGAUUUGGCCUUGCCGUGCCUUUCCCAAAAUGAUGCACCAUGGCCUGGAAUUUUAAGGCAAAUAAAUGCUUGUUCUCUUAAGCUACUUGUCAUCUGAAUCUUCAGCAACUGAAAGAAAACGAAAACAGAGUGGUGGCAAGGAAAAAUGAAGUUUUAUGACUUGGUUCUCGGAAAUGAUGACAGCAUUGCCACCAAUAACCAAAAUAAGCAAACAAAAAAGGCACUGUCUACUAGACAAUACUAGUCAAGAGAAGCUGGCUUACAGCACAGAGAAUAGAGAACCAGGUAGACUUGGGUGGGAACCAGAUAGUGAAAUGCCAUACUACAGACACUGGUGGUAGAAGAUUGGGGCUGAGCACAUGAGAAAUUAGAGCUGGAUGUGCUUGUUGGCCAUGACAGACUCAAAAGAGCUAUCUAUGAUUUGGAUCCUUGUGGUGGGACCAGCAGGCAGUGUGAAAGAAUAGACAGUCCCAUAAAAGCAAGAACAGACCAUCUCAGCCUAUCACCAAAAGCAUAGAAACCUACAAAGGAUGUUGAACACACAUACUGCUAAUGCUUCAGGAUGGAUUCAGGCGUGUCCUGUCCCCAGACAGCUACAAAUCUCAGUUUCUACACCUCACCUAUUUGUGAAAAGGAUGUUGUGAGUCCAGUUGCUUACUUCAUGUGCAUUCUUUCAUCAGGUUUCCUUCAAAUCCAGAGUGUUGCCGUUCCCAGUGACACUAUAAUCUCUAGAACACUGGGAGAACUCUUUGUGGUCAAACUCAUGGCUUCCAGUGUUGUUGAGUCCCCCUCAUUUCUCAAAUAGCAAAUGGAGGCUAAGUGAUCUCUUUCAGAGUUGUGCUCGAGAAAUGUCAGUCUCCAGAAGUGCUUCAGCCCUGAGUUCUCUGAGGGUCACUGGCACAGGUGGACAUCAAGAAGAGUUCCUAGAGUCCCAUCCGUGUGGAAUAGGACAUGCAUGAGAGAGAAGGUGGCUAGACAACAAAAGACUUCUGACCCAGGAGAAGGACAUAUAUCUAUUUUCAAGCCCACAAGGAAGGAUUCCCCCAGACUUUCCCCGUUGUGCUCUAUGGAACUGGGAGAUCCAACAUCUCCCUCUAGCCAAGAGCUACUGCGAAGUCUGGGCACUCUGCCAUCUGUAACUCCAUCCUUGAUAUUUGAGAUGACAGAUCUUCAGGGUCACCUUCCUCCCUUUUCAGUGUGGAAACAGAAGUCAAGUGCUCACUCUGGGAGCUCAGCAUGCACUCGCUCAGUGCACAGCAGCUGGCUCCCAUUCCCGGCCUCACCGCUCCUGACGUCUCUACCCUUCUCCAGAUUCCUAACAGUGAAUUUGGACUUAAAGACUUGUGUCUCCAGUGCUCGGAUCUGCAGUAAUGCUCCGUGACCAUAGGAUCAUCCCCUCAGUUGGUCUGCACUGCAUUUUUAAAACCUGUCUACAUACAAAACAGGAAUAAUAAUAGCAUGCUUGAGUCUACUUAAGGGAGCUGUUCAUUCAAUCAGUUAUAGAAGCAAAGGUUCAAAAUGGAAAGAAGAGGUCUUUGCCUACCCAACGAUGUAGUUUCUUCGGCCCUGGGAAAGAAGGUGACAUAGGCUGAGAACUGGACGGUUGGGAUCCCAUAAGGAGUAUAGACAACAGUGACCCUGGGGCAUAGUGGUGAAAGUAGAGGUUGACUUCCAAGUUGACCAUCAGAAUGUUUCUCAUUCUGCUCACUUAACCCAGGACAGUGACCUCAGACUUCCCUAUUGGUCAUGAAGGAGGAAGGACACAUAAGACUUGGUUCCAAUGAUGAUUUUGCAGUCCUAACUCUCAGAGGCCCUAAGCCCAUGGUCCUGAAGAUUCUAUAGAAGGAAUUAAAUGGUUCUGUAAGACGGAAAACCAAACAUCUUAUUUUCGCAAACCUCUCACUGAAAUUAAGUUAUUUUCUUCAAUUAUAACGUGAGCCAAACAACAAUAGUUUUAGCAGAACAGGUCUCUCUCUCAACACCAGAAACAGAAGAUGUUUUCAUGUGGCAUUGUGAUUGUUUCUCAUUCUUUAAAAUCUCAUUCAUUCUGAUUGCUGCUUUGAAAUUGCAAAAGUUAUUAGGCCAGCUGCUGGAGCUGGCUGAGUUAAUAAAGGAGCACAUACAUAACAUUAUAUCA